rnacentral:rRNA from 1 species
GACGAACGCUGGCGGCGUGCUUAACACAUGCAAGUCGAACGGAAAGGCCCUGCUUUUGUGGGGUGCUCGAGUGGCGAACGGGUGAGUAACAUGUGAGUAACCUGCCCUUGACUUUGGGAUAACUUCAGGAAACUGGGGCUAAUACCGGAUAGGAGCUCCUGCUGCAUGGUGGGGGUUGGAAAGUUUCGGCGGUUGGGGAUGGACUCGCGGCUUAUCAGCUUGUUGGUGGGGUAGUGGCUUACCAAGGCUUUGACGGGUAGCCGGCCUGAGAGGGUGACCGGCCACAUUGGGACUGAGAUACGGCCCAGACUCCUACGGGAGGCAGCAGUGGAGAAUAUUGCACAAUGGGCGGAAGCCUGAUGCAGCAACGCCGCGUGCGGGAUGACGGCCUUCGGGUUGUAAACCGCUUUCGCCUGUGACGAAGCGUGAGUGACGGUAAUGGGUAAAGAAGCACCGGCUAACUACGUG